UGUUUAUCUCAGGGCAGGGUGAAAGUCCCUACCGGCGGUAAAGUGAAAUGACUUCUGGUUGUUUCAUGAAGCCCGCGAGCGCUCUGUUUGCCGUUAUCCUUUUGUUGCUAGAAACGUGUUAUCAAAAAUUGGUUGUCAGAAACUAAUUGUCGUAACUGGUUAUCGUAACAACUGAGGAUAAAACAGAGGUCAGCAGAUCCAGUGUGAUUCUGGAGCCGACGGUGAUAGUCCGGAUGGGAGAGAAUAACA
rnacentral:ncRNA from 1 species